AUACGUAGGGGGCGAGCGUUGUCCGGAAUGAUUGGGCGUAAAGGGCGCGUAGGCGGCCCGGUAAGUCUGGAGUGAAAGUCCUGUUUUUAAGAUGGGAAUUGCUUUGGAUACUGUCGGGCUUGAGUGCAGGAGAGGUAAGUGGAAUUCCCAGUGUAGCGGUGAAAUGCGUAGAGAUUGGGAGGAACACCAGUGGCGAAGGCGACUUACGGUACUGUAACUGACGCUGAGGCGCGAAAGUUUGGGGAGCAAACAGGAUUAGAUUCCCGGGUAGUCCACGCCGUAAACGAUGAAUACUAGGUGUAGGGGGUGUCGACUCCCUCUGUGCCGCAGUUAACACAAUAAGUAUUCCGCCUGGGGAGUACGGCCGCAAGGUUGAAACUCAAAUGAAUUGUCGGGG
rnacentral:rRNA from 1 species